UGAAAUAUUGUGUGCCCAGGGCAGUAGU
rnacentral:piRNA from 1 species